UCUUCUCGGCCACUCAGCAAUU
rnacentral:siRNA from 1 species